AUUGAACGCUGGCGGCAGGCUUAACACAUGCAAGUCGAGCGGAGAUGAGGUGCUUGCACCUUAUCUUAGCGGCGGACGGGUGAGUAAUGCUUAGGAAUCUGCCUAUUAGUGGGGGACAACAUUCCGAAAGGAAUGCUAAUACCGCAUACGUCCUACGGGAGAAAGCAGGGGAUCUUCGGACCUUGCGCUAAUAGAUGAGCCUAAGUCGGAUUAGCUAGUUGGUGGGGUAAAGGCCUACCAAGGCGACGAUCUGUAGCGGGUCUGAGAGGAUGAUCCGCCACACUGGGACUGAGACACGGCCCAGACUCCUACGGGAGGCAGCAGUGGGGAAUAUUGGACAAUGGGGGGAACCCUGAUCCAGCCAUGCCGCGUGUGUGAAGAAGGCCUUAUGGUUGUAAAGCACUUUAAGCGAGGAGGAGGCUCUUUUGGUUAAUACCCAGAAUGAGUGGACGUUACUCGCAGAAAAAGCACCGGCUAACUCUGUGCCAGCAGCCGCCGUAA
rnacentral:rRNA from 1 species